rnacentral:rRNA from 1 species
AUUGAACGCUGGCGGCAGGCCUAACACAUGCAAGUCGAGCGAGCGGCGGACGGGUGAGUAAUGUAUGGGAACCUGCCUGAUGGAGGGGGAUAACUACUGGAAACGGUAGCUAAUACCGCAUACCAUCAGAUGGACCCAUAUGGGAUUAGCUUGUAGGUGGGGUAACGGCUCACCUAGGCGACGAUCCCUAGCUGGUCUGAGAGGAUGAUCAGCAACACGGGGACGGAGACACGGCCCAGACUCCUACGGGAGGCAGCAGUGGGGAAUAUUGCACAAGGGGCGAAAGCCUGAUGCAGCCAUGCCGCGUGGAUGAAGAAGGCUUUCGGGUUGUAAAGUACUUUCAGUGGGGAGGCGUUACCGACAGAAGAAGCACCGGCUAACUCCGUGCCAGCAGCCGCGGUAAUAC